rnacentral:rRNA from 1 species
GACGAACGCUGGCGGCGUGCUUAACACAUGCAAGUCGAACGGAAAGGCCCUGCUUUUGUGGGGUGCUCGAGUGGCGAACGGGUGAGUAACACGUGAGUAACCUGCCCUUGACUUUGGGAUAACUUCAGGAAACUGGGGCUAAUACCGGAUAGGAGCUCCUGCUGCAUGGUGGGGGUUGGAAAGUUUCGGCGGUUGGGUAUGGACUCGCGGCUUAUCAGCUUGUUGGUGGGGUAGUGGCUUACCAAGGCUUUGACGGGUAGCCGGCCUGAGAGGGUGACCGGCCACAUUGGGACUGAGAUACGGCCCAGACUCCUACGGGAGGCAGCAGUGGGGAAUAUUGCACAAUGGGCGGAAGCCUGAUGCAGCAACGCCGCGUGCGGGAUGACGGCCUUCGGGCUGUAAACCGCUUUCGCCUGUGACGAAGCGUGAGUGACGGUAAUGGGUAAAGAAGCACCGGCUAACUACGUG